rnacentral:rRNA from 1 species
UACGGAGGGGGCGAGCGUUAUUCGGAAUUAUUGGGCGUAAAGGGCGCGUAGGCGGCUGUACAAGUCAAAGGUGAAAUCCCUCGGCUCAACUGAGGAACUGCCUUUGAAACUGUACGGCUUGAGGCCGGGAGGGGGUAGCGGAAUUCCCAGUGUAGCGGUGAAAUGCGUAGAUACUGGGAGGAACACCAGUGGCGAAGGCGGCUACCUGGACACUUCCUGACACUGAGGCACGAAAGCUAGGGGAGCAAACAGG